rnacentral:lncRNA from 1 species
GCAAAAGCAAAAAUGAAACUGAUCCUGAGAACAAAGAUGAUGGAGAAUCUGAUGAUGAUAAUGAUGAUGAUGAUGGAGACGAUGAGGAUGCUGAAAACCAAGAAGAAGAUGAUGGUGGUGACGAGGGAUCAGAUGACAAUGGGAAUGAGGAGGAAGAUGACGACGACGACGAUGAUGACGAUCCUGAAGCUAAUGGUGAAGGAGGAAGCGAUGAUGAUGAUGAUGGUGGAGAGGAUGAAGAGGAGGAUGACGACGAUGACGACGGGGACGGUGACAAUGACGAAGAUGAUGAGGAAGAAGAGGAAGAGGAGGAUGACGAUGACGUCCCCCAACCACCUACUAAGAAGAGGAAAUGAUCGAUGCCUGUUCGCCCCUGCG